AUACUUACCUGGCAGGAGAGAUACCAUGAUCACGAAGAUGGUUUCCCAGGGCGAGGCUUAUCCAUUGUACUCUGGAUGUGCUGAUCCCUGCGAUUUCCCCAGCUGUGAGAAACUUGACUGCAUAAUUGUGGUAGUGGAGGACUGAGUUCACACUCUCCCCUG
rnacentral:snRNA from 1 species